rnacentral:misc_RNA from 1 species
GAAAUGCGAUAAGUAAUGUGAAUUGCAGAAUUCAGUGAAUCAUCGAAUCUUUGAACGCACAUUGCGCUCGCCAGUAUUCUGGCGAUCAUGCCUGUUCGAGCGUCAUUUCAACCAUCAAGCUCUGCUUGCGUUGGGGAUCCGCGGCUGCCCGCGGUCCCUCAAAAACAGUGGCGGGCUCGCUAGUCACACCGAGCGUAGUAACUCUACAUCGCUAUGGUCGUGCGGCGGGUUCUUGCCGUAAAACCCCCAAUUUCUAAGGUUGACCUCGGAUCAGGUAGGAAUACCCGCUGAACUUAAGC